AUGCUUGCUUUGGCAGCACAUAUACUAAAAUUGGAACGAUGCAGGGAAGAUUAUCAUGGCCCCUGUGCAAGGAUGACAUGCACAUUUGUGAAGUGUUCCAUAUUUUU
rnacentral:snRNA from 1 species